rnacentral:rRNA from 1 species
GACGAACGCUGGCGGCGUGCUUAACACAUGCAAGUCGAACGGAAAGGCCCUGCGUUUGUGUGUUUCUCGAUUGGCGAACGGGUGAGUAACACGUGAGUAACCUGCCCUUGACUUUGUGAUAACUUCAGGGAACUGCGGCUAAUACCGGAUAGGAGCUCCUGCUGCAUGUUGUUGGUUGGAAAGUUUCGGCGGUUGGGGAUGGACUCGCGGCUUAUCAGCUUGUUUGUGUGGUAGUGGCUUACCAAGGCUUUGACGGGUAGCCGGCCUGAGAGGGUGAACGGCGACAUGGGGACUGAGAGACGGAGCAGACGCCUACGGGCGGCAGCAGUGGGGAAUAUUGCACAAUGGGGGGACGUCUGAGGCAGAAAUGCCCCGUGCGGGAAGCUGGCCUACGGGUUGAAAACAUAUUUGGAAUGUGACGAAGCGUGCGUGACGGUAAUUGGUCAAGAAGCACCGGCUAACUACGU